GAAACGACUGCUAAGACUGGAUAGGAGAUAAGAAGGCAUCUUUUUAUUUUUAAAAGACCUAGCAAUAGGUAUGCUUAGGGAAGAGCUUGCGUCACAUUAGCUAGUUGGUGGGGUAAUGGCCUACCAAGACGAUGAUGUGUAGCCGGGCUGAGAGGUCGAACGGCCACAUUGGGACUGAGACACGGCCCAAACUCCUACGGGAGGCAGCAGUAAGGAAUUUUCGGCAAUGGAGGAAACUCUGACCGAGCAAUGCCGCGUGAACGAUGAAGUAUUUCGGUACGUAAAGUUCUUUUAUUAGGGAAGAAAAGAUGGUGGAAAAACCAUUAUGACGGUACCUAAUGAAUAAGCCCCGGCUAACUAUGUGCCAGCAGCCGCGGUAAUACAUAGGGGGCAAGCGUUAUCCGGAAUUAUUGGGCGUAAAGGGUGCGUAGGCGGUUAAAUAAGUUUAUGGUCUAAGUGCAACGCUCAACGUUGUGAUGCUAUAAAAACUGUUUAGCUAGAGUUGGAUAGAGGCAAGUGGAAUUCCGUGUGUAGUGGUAAAAUGCGUAAAUAUACGGAGGAACACCAGAAGCGAAGGCGGCUUGCUGGGUCUUAACUGACGCUGAGGCACGAAAGCGUGGGGAGCAAACAGGAUUAGAUACCCUGGUAGUCCACGCCCUAAACGAUGAGUACUAAACGUUGGAUAAAACCAGUGUUGAAGUUAACACAUUAAGUACUCCGCCUGAGUAGUACGUACGCAAGUAUGAAACUUAAAGGAAUUGACGGGACUCCGCACAAGCGGUGGAUCAUGUUGUUUAAUUCGAAGGUACCCGAAAAACCUCACCAGGUCUUGACAUGCUUUUGCAAAGCUGUAGAAAUACAGUGGAGGUUAUCAGAAGCACAGGUGGUGCAUGGUUGUCGUCAGCUCGUGUCGUGAGAUGUUGGGUUAAGUCCCGCAACGAGCGCAACCCUUGUUGUUAAUUGCCAUCAUUAAGUUGGGGACUUUAGCAAGACUGCCAAUGAUAAAUUGGAGGAAGGUGGGGACGACGUCAAAUCAUCAUGCCCCUUAUGACCUGGGCUACAAACGUGAUACAAUGGCUGUUACAAAGGGUAGCUAAAGCGUAAGCUUCUGGCGAAUCUCAAAAAAGCAGUCUCAGUUCGGAUUGAAGUCUGCAACUCGACUUCAUGAAGUUGGAAUCGCUAGUAAUCGCGAAUCAGCAUGUCGCGGUGAAUACGUUCUCGGGGUUUGUACACACCGCCCGUCA
rnacentral:rRNA from 1 species